rnacentral:lncRNA from 1 species
GAGAAAGUCAUAAGAAUCAGGGAGCCUGCCCCAAAUUGCCUCCUAUGAUAACUUUCCACAAAGACUGGAGGGGAGGCUUCAAACAUCUUCCUGCAGUGUCCAGCAAGACAGCGAGGCAGACUCCCUUUCUCCUGCCAAAGCCACGUGGAGCCAGACAGAACCACAAGCAUACCUGUGGUGCUUGGAGGCCCAAGUAGAAACUUGAAUGCUCACGGCUGCAUUGGCAGCUUCUACUUGCCUGCCUGGAUCACCGUUCCUCAUGAGAACUUGGAAAAGCAGGACUAUCAUUCUUGCUUGACAGACGAAGAAACCAAGCCUCAGGACUGCGUGCAAUUCUACUUGGAGAUCUUCAUAACACCUUAAGGGAAAAAUCCUUUUUGAAAGAAAAACAAGUCUGGGUGGUGCUUGAAAAUUCAGAAGGCAGCUAGAAACUCUGCCAAUUACAACUAUUUACAACUUCAGGGAGACAAAGGAAACUCCAGCUCAUCUCCCACAUCAUUGAUUGAGAGGACCAUUUUCUGACUGUCUGCACACACUCAAUCCUAAGUAAAAAGAAGAAAGCCGGAGGCACCAUAUUACCUGACUUCAAACUAUACUAUAAGGCUACAGUAAUGAAAAUAGCAUGGUACUGAUAUAACACAAACACACAGAGUGAUGGAACAGAAUAGAAAACUUAGAAAUAGAACCACAC